rnacentral:rRNA from 1 species
GAUUAUGGCUCAGGAUGAACGCUGGCGGCACGCUUAACACAUGCAAGUCGAACGAAGAAAGUAUUUCGGAUUUCUUAGUGGCGGACGGGUGAGUAACACGUGAGUAACCUGCCUCAGAGUGGGGAAUAACACACCGAAAGGUGUGCUAACACCGCAUAAUGUCACCGGAUGGCAUCAUCUGGUGACCAAAGGAGCAAUUCGCUUUGAGAUGGACUCGCGCCCGAUUAGGCAGUUGGUGGGGUAAUGGCCUACCAAACCUAUGAUCGGUAGCCGGACUGAGAGGUUGGCCGGCCACAUUGGGACUGAGACACGGCCCAGACUCCUACGGGAGGCAGCAGUGGGGGAUAUUAGGCAAUGGGGGGAAAAACCCCUGACCUAGCGAUGCCGCGCGAGGGAAGAAGGUCUUCGGAUUGUAAACCUCUGUCUUCGGGGAAGAUUAUGACGGUACCCGAGGAGGAAGCCCCGGCUAACUACGUGCCAGCAGCGGC